AGAGUUGAUCCUGGCUCAGGAUGAACGCUAGCUACAGGCUUAACACAUGCAAGUCGAGGGGCAGCGGGAAGUUAGCUUGCUAACUUGCCGGCGACCGGCGCACGGGUGAGUAACGCGUAUCCAACCUUCCCCUUAGUAGGGCAUAGCCCGGCGAAAGUCGGAUUAAUACCCUAUGUUUUCCAAUGAGGACAUCUGAGCUGGAAUAAAGAUUCAUCGCUAAGGGAUGGGGAUGCGUCCGAUUAGCUUGCCGGCGGGGUAACGGCCCACCGGGGCGACGAUCGGUAGGGGUUCUGAGAGGAAGGUCCCCCCACACUGGUACUGAGACACGGACCAGACUCCUACGGGAGGCAGCAGUGAGGAAUAUUGGUCAAUGGGCGCGAGCCUGAACCAGCCAAGUAGCGUGCAGGAUGACGGCCCUAUGGGUUGUAAACUGCUUUUAUAGGGGAAUAAAGUUUCCUACGUGUAGGAUUUUGUAUGUACCCUGUGAAUAAGGACCGGCUAAUUCCGUGCCAGCCGCUGC
rnacentral:rRNA from 1 species